UACGUAGGUCCCGAGCGUUGUCCGGAUUUAUUGGGCGUAAAGCGAGCGCAGGUGGUUUAUUAAGUCUGGUGUAAAAGGCAGUGGCUCAACCAUUGUAUGCAUUGGAAACUGGUAGACUUGAGUGCAGGAGAGGAGAGUGGAAUUCCAUGUGUAGCGGUAAAAUGCGUAGAUAUAAGGAGGAACACCGGUGGCGAAAGCGGCUCUCUGGCCUGUAACUGACACUGAGGCUCGAAAGCGUGGGGAGCAAACAGG
rnacentral:rRNA from 1 species